AUGAAACUGAAACUUAAAGUAACAAAGAGCAGCAGCACCUGAAAAACAGCGGCAGACUUCAGGUUCUUCUGUCACUUUGACUGCAGAAACGAUAUUGGUAUAGUGAAAACUGGAACGGUGAUAAACGGAUCUUCCCUCACAAUCCCAGGAGAAAUGGCCUAUAACUAUGAAGACAUUUGGAGAGAGGAGACCUUGCCUAACUUUGCUGAAGUCAUGCUUCUUAGUACCGUCCCGCCAGAGCAGGGCAAAAUCUACGUUAUGUACCAUGGCACGGAUUUGGAAUCAGCAAAAAACAUCAUUCAGUUUGGUUUCAAAAGAUCACAAAAACUUGGCAAUAUGUUAGGAGCAGGAGUCUAUGUUAGCAGAAAUAUAGAGAAGGCCGCGGCUUACCCACUUGGAAGUAAACUGGACCAAGUUAUUUUGAAGCUUAGAGUGAAUGUAGGCAAGGUGAUAAAGAUUGAUGAACAAAACCAUGCUUUGCAGAAAACAUGGCAUGAAUCUGGGUUUGACACUGCUUGGGUACCGCCACACUGUGGUAUGGUCAAAAGUGGACUAGAAGAGGAUUGUGUUUGGGAUCCCAACAGGAUCAAGGUGGUUGGAGUUGAAAAAGCCCCGUACGGGCAUAAGGCUUCUCUGAUUGAAUUAGUUGAAAGGUGUAAAAAGUAAUAAUAGUUAUAUUGAAAAUGAGACAAAUACACAUUUUCUUUUUACUGUCAACAAAUUUGAUUUAGAAAAAUAUUGAUCCACACUGCGCUUAUAAUAUGAGGUUGCUGCCAGCAAUACCACAAAUAGAGCCUUCACCAACAAACUCAGAGAAUAAAAACAUGAUGUCACUCGGCGCUACCAACCAACAAAGCUUUUAUGCAUAAGA